GGGUGGUUAGUUCAGCUGGCAGAGCGCCACGUUGACAUCGUGGAGGUCGUUGGUUCGAGUCCAAUACCACCCACCA
rnacentral:tRNA from 2 species